rnacentral:rRNA from 1 species
CUGCUGCCUUCCGUAGGAGUCUGGGCCGUNUCUCAGUCCCAAUGUGGCCGGCCAACCUCUCAGUCCGGCUACUGAUCGUCGCCUUGGUAGGCCGUUACCCUACCAACUAGCUAAUCAGACGCGAGGCCAUCUCUCAGCGAUAAAUCUUUGAUAUAUCUGCCAUGCGACAAACAUAUAUUAUGCGGUAUUAGCAGUCGUUUCCAACUGUUGUCCCCCUCUGAAAGGCAGGUUCCUCACGCG